CAAGUACUCCCUCCGUUCGAAAAUACUUGUCAUCAAAAUGGAUAAAAAGGGCUGUAUCUAUAACUAAAAUACGUCUAGAUACAUCCCCUUUUAUUCAAUUUGAUGACAAGUAUUUCCGGACGGAGGGAGUAUUAG
rfam:Triticum aestivum genome assembly, contig: Triticum_aestivum_CS42_TGACv1_scaffold_031520_1BL